rnacentral:lncRNA from 1 species
CUACCUCAGCCUCCCAAGUACCUGGGGCUACAGGUGUGUGCCACCACACUUGGCUAAUUUUGUAUUUUUUUGUAGAGACAGGGUCUCCCUAUAUUGCCCAUACUGGUCUUGACCUCCUGGGCUCAAGCAUCCUCCUGCCUCAGCCUCCCAAAAUGCUGGGAUUACAAGUGUGAGCCACCCACCAUACCGGCCUAGGCCAUUUAGAGAAGAGGCGUAGCAUCCUAUUUGACUUACCAUUGCCUGUACUCCUUUGAAGUAUAAUAGGUUCCAUGUAGAAAAAUCUGCUGUAUAAAGACUUGAUAAUUAAAAGGGAGUUAUUGCGAAAUAUUAAUAAAAGGGGAGGGAAGUUGUUGCAGGACUCUAAGGAUUGAGUAGUCAGUACGUGAAAUGUGGCUGUUGAGUAAUGAGAUUGACUGUUCAAUGUUAUGGCCCAAUGAGAAUGUUUGCCCACCCUAUUUCUUUCUUAGCUUCUUUUUUUGUUUUUAAGAGACAGGGUCCUGCUCUGUUGCCCAGGCUGUGGUGUGAUCAUAGCACACUGUAGCCUUGAACUCCUAGGCUCAAGUGAUCCUCUCGCCUGUCUCCUGAGUAGGUAGGACUACAGGCAUGUGCCACCACACCCAACAAAUUUGUUUUGUUUUGUUUGAGGCAGGAUCUCACUUUGCUGCCUAGGCUGGAGGGCAGUGGCACCAUCAUAGCUCACUGCAGCCUUGACCUCCUGGGCUCAAGCGAUUCUCCCACCUCAGCCAUCCAAAGUGCUGGGAUUACAGGUAUGUGCCACUGUGCCCAGCUCUAAUUUUUAUUUUUCGUAGAGACAGGAUCUUGCCAUGUGGUCCUUGCUGAUCUGAACUCCUGGCUUCAAGCGAGCCUCCCACCUUAGCCUUCCAAAGUGCUGGGAUUAUAGGCGUGAGCCACCACACCCAGCCUAUAUAUUAUGUCAUUAGGAGUAAUCCUACAUCAUUCUGCUUCUCCUGCAAAUGCUCUACUUUCUUAGUUGUGAGUUAAGGCUUUCCCUGCUAGAAUGCUUGCUUUUAGUUUGUGAUUAAUUUUUGUUUCAUUAUACCAACUCCAAAACUUAAAUGAGGAAGAAUAUCCUACCACUGCAAAAUGGAGUGAGUUGGGAAAGAUGCCCUUUGUGACAUGGGAGUAAUGCCACCAGCACUGUUUUUUCUGCAUACUUUAUUUCUCCUUCCUGGUUCUUUUAGUGACCUUGUAUUUUAUCUUCAACCUUGAAUUUUCAUCUAUUUCCACUUCUUCCUUCUUCUUUUCACGUCUUUGUUCACACAUUCUCUACAGCAUUUCCCCUGUAGUGUUCCUUGUGAACAUAGGCCUAAGCUAAAAUCUAUCUUGCUUGAAAAUUUAUUUAUUUAUUUAUUUUUCUUGAGGUGGGGUCU